rnacentral:lncRNA from 1 species
CUAAGUCAAACUGAAUCUAAUUCAUUUAGACUUGAUUCAAAGCUUUCUGCUCAAUCAAAUUGAGUUAAUUAGUAAUCUAAUUGCUAAUUAAUUCUUUAUUAAUAGUAGAGUCUCAAUCCAAUGAGAUUCUUCUCUAGAGUCUCAGUCCUAGUGGGACUCUUUAUCAGAGUCACAAUCUAAUUGAACUCUUCAGCCAUUAGA